AACGAACGCUGGCGGCAUGCCUAACACAUGCAAGUCGAACGAGACCUUCGGGUCUAGUGGCGCACGGGUGCGUAACGCGUGGGAACCUGCCUUUAGGUUCGGAAUAACUCAGAGAAAUUUGAGCUAAUACCGGAUAAUGUCUUCGGACCAAAGAUUUAUCGCCUUUAGAUGGGCCCGCGUAAGAUUAGCUAGUUGGUGGGUAAAGGCCUACCAAGGCGACGAUCUUUAGCUGGUCUGAGAGGAUGAUCAGCCACACUGGGACUGAGACACGGCCCAGACUCCUACGGGAGGCAGCAGUGGGGAAUAUUGGACAAUGGGCGAAAGCCUGAUCCAGCAAUGCCGCGUGAGUGAUGAAGGCCUUAGGGUUGUAAAGCUCUUUUACCCGAGAUGAUAAUGACAGUAUCGGGAGAAUAAGCUACCGGCUAACUCCGUGCCAGCAGCCGCGGUAAU
rnacentral:rRNA from 1 species